AACGAACGCUGGCGGCGUGCUUAACACAUGCAAGUCGAGCGCACGGAAGGACUUCGGUCCUCGAGUGAGCGGCGAACGGGUGAGUAACACGUGAAUAACGUACCCUCAGAUGUGGGAUAACCAUUCGAAAGGAUGGCUAAUAUCGUAUAAGACCACACUGACUUAUGUCGGAGGGGUCAAAGCUUUAUGCGUCUGAGGAUCGGUUCGCGGUCCAUUAGGUAGUUGGCGGGGUAAUGGCCCACCAAGCCGAAGAUGGAUAGCUGGUCUGAGAGGAUGAUCAGCCACACUGGGACUGAGACACGGCCCAG
rnacentral:rRNA from 1 species